rnacentral:rRNA from 1 species
UGCCAGCAGCCGCGGUAAUACGAGGGGUGCAAGCGUUGCUCGGAAUUAUUGGGCGUAAAGGGCAGGUAGGUGGUCUUGUUUGUCUGAUGUGAAAUCCCGGGGCUUAACUUCGGAAGUGCGUCAGAAACGGCAAGACUAGAGUACUGGAGAGGGUCGUGGAAUUCCCGGUGUAGCGGUGAAAUGCGUAGAGAUCGGGAGGAACACCAGAGGCGAAGGCGGCGACCUGGACAGUGACUGACACUCAACUGCGAAAGCGUGGGGAGCAAACAGGAUUAGAUACCCUGGUAGUCCACGCUGUAAACGAUGGGUACUAGGUUUGGUGGGUCUUGACCCCCGCCGAACCGGCGCUAACGCACUAAGUACCCCGCCUGGGAAGUACGGUCGCAAGACUAAAACUCAAAUAAAUUGACGG